UACGUAGGGUGCAAGCGUUGUCCGGAAUUAUUGGGCGUAAAGAGCUCGUAGGCGGUUUGUUGCGUCGGCUGUGAAAUCCCGAGGCUCAACCUCGGGUCUGCAGUCGAUACGAGCAAACUAGAGUGUUGCAGGGGAGACUGGAAUUCCUGGUGUAGCGGUGAAAUGCGCAGAUAUCAGGAGGAACACCGGUGGCCGAAGGCGGGUCUCUGGCC
rnacentral:rRNA from 1 species